rnacentral:other from 1 species
AGAUGUCUGGAAUAUUUGUGGAGCUCUUAUUUUGAACCUACAUUACUACAGCGGGAGUUCAAUAUCUAAGUGUGGAUGGAACUAUAAGACCAGCUUAAGGCAAGUACUGAGAAUCAUUUGUGAGAACACCCACCUAUCGGAGAGAUAGGUGUCAAAAUCAGAGCAGCGGUAUUUUGGAUGUAUA